GACAGAGGGUGCAAGCGUUGCUCGGAAUCACUGGGCGUAAAGGGCGUGUAGGCGGGAAGGAAAGUCAGAUGUGAAAUCCCCAGGCUCAACCUGGGAACUGCAUUUGAAACUCCCUUUCUUGAGUACCGGAGAGGAAAGUGGAAUUCCUGGUGUAGAGGUGAAAUUCGUAGAUAUCAGGAGGAACACCAGUGGCGAAGGCGGCUUUCUGGACGGUAACUGACGCUGAGACGCGAAAGCGUGGGGAGCAAACAGG
rnacentral:rRNA from 1 species